GGUGGGGUACCACAGUGGUAUGAAUGUUGGGACUAUGGCUCUGGAGACCAGGGUUCGAUUCCCAGCUCAGCCG